AAGAAUCCAAUCUGAUUUUUAUAUGUUAGAAUUUCUAAAUAUAGUAAUUGUUGAUUACCAUUAAUAUUUAUUUAAGUUCUGUGACAUCGAUCUCAACUAGACAAUAUAAUGGCCAGGUACGUACUGAAAUAUUUAAGUUAAUUCGAGUCUAUGAUCGAGUUUUGCUGACAGAGAUAGUGAUCGAAUAAUUUAUUUUAAUGGCUCCCAAAUAAUUUAUAUAAUUUAUAAGAUUU
rnacentral:lncRNA from 1 species